GAUGAAGAACGUAGCGAAAUGCGAUAAGUAAUGUGAAUUGCAGAAUUCAGUGAAUCAUCGAAUCUUUGAACGCACAUUGCGCCCGCCAGUAUUCUGGCGGGCAUGCUUGUUCGAGCGUCAUUUCAACCAUCAAGCCCUGCUUGCGUUGGGGUCCUGCGGCUGCCCGCAGGCCCUGAAAACCAGUGGCGGGCUCGCUAGUCACACCGAGCGCAGUAAUACAUCUCGCUUUGGGCGUGCGGCGGGUUCUUGCCGUUAAACACCCCCUUUUUACCAAGGUUGACCUCGGAUCAGGUAGGAAUACCCGCUGAACUUAAGCAUAUCAAUAAGCGGAGGA
rnacentral:misc_RNA from 1 species